rnacentral:lncRNA from 1 species
UCAAAGUCGCUUGUUAGUUAGUGAACAUCAAGAUAAAUAUUGAGAUAAUAUGAUAAAUGCAUAUCAGUGAAACUGAAACAGCUAGCUAGAGAUAGUAGAAAUGCUUGUGAAAAUGCAGAAUCAGGAGCUUGGGCAACGACAACACUACCUGUGGACGUAAUGAGUGCCAAUCCAAUAUCCAUAUUGUAAGUUUGUAACCAAUCAUAUACUAUCUUUAACUCCAAAAUCCCCCCCCAUCCCUCAGGAAAAAAGGAAGAUUCAGAGUUUGUCUGCUGUCGCACAUGUACUGUCCAUUCUAAAUAUAUAUGUGUAACUGAGAUAACAUGCACAUGCGUGUAAAUUAAGAUUAAAAUAUAGCAUAUGAUCAUGCUAAUGUCCAUAGCAUAUGCCAUACUGCCACCCAACCCAAUGUUGUAGGCACAUCAAUAAUCCUUGACUCGUUCUCGGAUAUCUCUGCCAUUGAUUUAGGUGACUAUGAAAUUUGGUAUGUGUGGAACCUGGACUUGCACUCACAGCAAGUCGAACAAUAUGGAGAUUGAUGCAGCCUACGAGAUGUUGUGAAAAUUCUUCAGGUGAAUGUCUCUCAAAUCUUGAUCUUCCUCCCUAGUUUAAUCGUUAUUCAUAUGGUAUUUAUCAUGUCUACUAUCAAAGUUCUUGUGUGGUUCAACAAAAUAUUGAUAUGGAAUCUUGUCUAAUUAUUAAAAAUGUUGAUUACAAAGAAUUUUUAGAGUUGGAGUUUCAUGAUUUAAUGAGUUCAUUGGAAACUUCUAGAUAUGUUGAUUUAAUUGGGGUUGAUGUCUUCUACUUCAGAAUUUCCAAAGUUUUGGUUGAUAUUAUAAAUCGAAUGAAGAAAGAGAAUGUCAAGGUUGCGAGGUAUGCUAUUAAGGGUGCUUUUCAUGCUUCAACAACCAAAUAUGAAAUGCUCCAAUUAUCUA